GUGUCAAAAGGAUUAUACUGUUUUCCUUGGAAAUGUCUAAUAUUGUGAAUUGUUCCAUUGUAAACCACUGUAUACUGUGGUUGUAGUACCAAUGUCAGGCCACCAAGAAAAUACUCCAUCCAGUAUCAUCUUAUUAUCAGAGUACUGUUUUCUCACCUAGAUGAUUUUGACUUUUACGGUCUUGAGGUGGAACCAGCUGAGAUGGACAGUGGCUCUGACCUCUUGAUGCACUAAUGUUUGUUCAUUAGAUUUUUAAAGAAUCAACGGGUAUAUUACAUAUUUAUAUAUGUGAAUAUCAUCACAGGAACUACAGAUAAAACCACUACUAAUUUCAACACCCCAGCGCUGCUCUACUGCCGGUAAAAAAAACUCCUGAGGGAGUGAGAUGGAGGCAGGCUAUGUAGAGAUUACAAGUUUUCUCAGGCGUCCUAUGAAGCCGUGGGUCUUGCAUGUCUUCAUAACAGCUGUCUGGAUAUGCAGACAUCUGAAGGGGGAACAAGUGGCUUUAUACAUUUGCGUUUGUUCGUACGGAUUCAGCAGACCUUUGAGGUCCGACCUGCCAGUGCCGAUACUGAGAGCAGCUUGAUACAGGUGUAGUUUCGGAGUUAUUACGGCUGCCCGGGGGUCCCCCUGCAAAACACGCAGCACAGCUCCAUGUCAAACUCUUCCUGCACACUGAACCAACAACACAGCACUGCUACUGUCCUGAGCAAGACAUUUUUUUGCCUGCAGUCUAGCACGAAAACAUGUCUGAGAGAAUAUGGUUUUAGUUCUGAUAACCGACAAAUAUUUCUCAAGUGAAGCCUCUAGUUAUUUUUCAUUCCACGUACAGCAUUGUACUGAUAUUCUUUGCCUUAGUUUGUUUGGGUUUGUUUAAUAGCAAUGAUGUCCAAACUGUAAAUCUUUUUCCUGUUGUUUAGUUUGAUUUGCUUAUACAGACUUGCUUUCCUUUUUCUGAUAUGAACUGUAGAAAUGUGUUUCUCAAAGAGAAUGUUUAAACAAUGCCAACAAUGUGAAUUUUCUCGAUACUCUUGGUUAACACGUUAUGCGUUCAGAAGACAGCAGAGCAAAGUUGACAGAUCAAACUACUAUUCCCCAUGAAAUUCCAGCCCAUUAAAUUAAUGAAAAUCUAAAAACACAUGUAUGGAUUUGAUCAUAACAGAUCACUUUUAUCUAAACAUUUCAUGCCCAAGAAGGGAGACACCAGAGGAAGUAAGACACCAAAGAAAAGUGUUGUUUGAACUACAGAAGUCCUGCAACCUUGUAAGCUUAAUCAAGUGUGCCUGUUGAAGUCAAGGACAUGCAGGAUAGCAAAGAGCUAUUUGUGUUUUGUAUUAGCUCACACGCUACUUUCUACUGAAAGUUUCGAUCCAGAACUUUUUGAAAAUGCUUAGUUAUUUUUUCGACAGAGGAGCAAUGGAUAGCUGAUUUGCAAGAGUUGUUGUUCAUGUGUGUCAUCCUAAUGAAAAAGCAGAUUAUAUUUGUCGUGCUUCCUUUUGGUUGUAAAAUACUUACCCUACCCUAACACUAAACCGGCAAAUGGUCAAUUAAUCCAUACUGUAAACAUAAAGAAAACAGAUGUAUUUAGCCAUAGUGGACAUUCAUAUUGUUUAUGGUGCUGCUAUUUUAAUGUGGUCAGGUGGGUGUAGUGUAACUCUCAACUUCACUGGCUUAUCCUUGAUGAUCGCCCAGUUGGUGUCAAUUUGGAAAUCUCACCUACUUGACUAGAUUAAAAUGGCGGAUGCCUUCUGCGGCGAAGUCCAUGCUCUCAUAGACAGAAUAAUAUUUUCAUUCGUUAGUCCUUCGCAUCAGACACUUUACUGUUUUUGUGAAAUAGCGCCUCCCUUAACACGCGAGGAAUAAUGGAAAACAGUUCAUAUUAAGGCAAUAGAACGAAUAGAAAAUAUGAAUGGUUUUGAUGGACGCUAAUUUAUUUAGACAAAUUACCUAGUGCGUGAGUAUAUAGAGGUAAAUGUAUUUCAAUGCAAUUGGUCAAAUGAGGAUAAAAAAAAUCAAAGUAAAACAAUAAAUAAUUAACUAAAAGUGUUCAAAAUUAACUGUUCACGAGUCUGGAACCCUGCAUCUUAAUGGUACUGUCUUUGAUGGAUAUGUGCUACCUCGUCAAGAAGAACAUUGGUUUCUUCAGCUCUGAAUGCUUGUUUUCUCUUGCUUUACAUUUUUGCUCAAAAAUAAUUUGAAUGGAUCUUUCCCACUAUGCUUUAUACUCACAGUUAACCAUGUGUUGAUUGCUAUGUGACUUAAGUAACAUCCAUAUAGCCACCCGAGGAACUGUUGGAUGUCAUGUGAUCGAUUUCCGGAGAUAUGAUUUUGAUUGACUGAAGUCCACCCCUUUGGAUAUGUUUCCUCCAAAUUGAAUGUCACUACUUCUUCAAGUUUUACAUUUUCCUAUUGAUGCCUAAGUAGAAUACAUCACCUGCGAUAUUAUAUGGUUCUGAUUACAGAACCAUAUGAUAAUCUGUAUCGAAAUGCAGUAGCGCAGGCUAUGUUUCAAAUUGUUUUCACGGCCUAAUUCAAUUUCAAACCCCAAAAUUGGUGUAAUUCCAUUAGAAACGGCCGUGGAGUAGCACUUACCAUGCACUUUGUAAAGAGCGGAUGAGCGUGGUGGUUUCAGAAACGGGCGUAAAUCGUUCGUAACAAAAUCCACAUAAGGCUACGCGCAUGGUUAAACCGUCGUAAGUGCCACGUGAUCUGGAAACCGAGGCUAGAUCUAACAACUAAUGUUAUGUGUUGCUAAUAGUGGUUUGGCGAUGUAAUGGGUAAUACCAUGCUUUUGCUGCUGAAUGUGAUCAAUUGAAUGUGAUCAAAUGAUUAAUUAUUUUUUAUUUGAAAUUGUUUUGUUUCUUUUACAUUCAGUGGGCAGUUAUUUCUCUUAUGUUUGGCUUUUCUCCAGCUUUAACAUCCUCCCUAGAUGCCUGCACUCUAUACAAAAACACUAUACAGAAACACCAGAAAUUCUCAAAUUUCACAGACCUUCAGCAUUUUUUUUUAUGCACUGAAAAUAUAAAUUUCAUACUGAAAGUCAAAGCAGUAUGUUAAACCAGAAACCUAUGAGUUUUGUUCUUAGUUGUUCUUUGUUCUUAGUUGACAGCCUCAUUUAUCUAUUUCAAUAGUAGUCCUAGCCUGCUUAUACAUUACAGCAUGUGUUGUAUGACUGUGAAAGACCAAUAACCCCAUGGGAUGUAUCAUUUUAUAGGGUAUUCAGAGUAGCAGCCUAUAUGUCACUAUUUGUUCCUCAGACAUUUUUUCAUACAGGGUAGUUUUUGGCAGGCUGUUUGUGAAAUGUUGACAUUUUCUUUCUUUUUCUAUUGUUUUCACUUUCAAUAAAACCA
ensembl:lncRNA